GCACUCCUCGACUUUGGGAAAAAUAAAGAGAGUAGCCUGAAAUGCUAGUCGGUCGAGUUCUCUCCGGAGGACUCGGUUGGCAACACCGUCAAAUUGCGGGAACCCCCUAAAGACUACGCUACCAAGCAGCGCUGGGAAACCACGCUGUGGCCAGGGUAAUGACCUCGGGUAUGGUAACAACGCGUAGUAUGACCCUCUGGUCUUCAGAAGGGAAAUGGGCAAUCCGCAGCCAAGUCCUCACCACCCCUCGCGGGGUGAUGGAUGCUGUUCACAGGCCAAAUGGUGGUGGGUCGAUUUUUAACCAAAGAUCGGCUUAAGAUAUGGUCGGGCCCCUGGGGAAACCCAGGGGGUAGUCACCGCGCAGUCAAACGGAGGCGGGAGCGACAAAGUGUCAAGCUCUUCGUCAUGGGCGACUGUGUGCCGCUGGAGGGACUUGUCCCUCGCUGCGGCUGCUGUAAAAAGCAAAAGUAACAAGAAACUGUUCCGUAGGUGAACCUGCGGAAGGAUCAUUACCGAGUUAGGGUCCUCUGGGCCCGAUCUCCCAACCCUUUGUUUAUUAUACCUUUUGUUGCUUCGGCGGGCCCGUUGUCUCACGACGACCGCCGGAGGACCGCUUAACGGCGUCCUCUGGUCCGCGCCCGCCGAUGGCCCCAAAAUCUCAAAAUUCUUGUAUGAAUCGUGUCUUUACCUAAGUCUUGAUUUAAUCAAAAACAAAACUUUCAACAACGGAUCUCUUGGUUCUGGCAUCGAUGAAGAACGCAGCGAAAUGCGAUAAGUAAUGCGAAUUGCAGAAUUCCAGUGAGUCAUCGAAUCUUUGAACGCACAUUGCGCCCUUUGGUAUUCCGAAGGGCAUGCCUGUUCGAGCGUCAUUAUCACCCCUCGAGCCCCCGGGCUUGGUGUUGGACGGCUUGGUUACGCUCCCCGCGUGACCCCUCCUAAAGACAAUGACGGCGGCCUCGUGGAGCCCCCGGUACACUGAGCUUCUUAACUGAGCACGUAUCGGAUCUAGGGCGCCCAGGCUCCGGUCCUCUCCCCUUUGUGGGG
rnacentral:rRNA from 1 species